rnacentral:rRNA from 1 species
GACGAACGCUGGCGGCGUGCUUAACACAUGCAAGUCGAGCGGUAAGGCCCUUUCGGGGGUACACGAGCGGCGAACGGGUGAGUAACACGUGGGUGACCUGCCCUUAGCUCUGGGAUAAGCCUGGGAAACUGGGUCUAAUACCGGAUAUGACUCCAUGACGCAUGUUGUGGGGUGGAAAGCCUUGUGCGGCUAGGGAUGGGCCCGCGGCCUAUCAGCUUGUUGGUGGGGUGAUGGCCUACCAAGGCGACGACGGGUAGCCGGCCUGAGAGGGCGACCGGCCACACUGGGACUGAGACACGGCCCAGACUCCUACGGGAGGCAGCAGUGGGGAAUCUUGCGCAAUGGGCGAAAGCCUGACGCAGCGACGCCGCGUGAGGGAUGACGGCCUCGGUUGUAACCGU